rnacentral:lncRNA from 1 species
UUACAGUGUCAUCAUUGAGUAUUGGAAAAAGGGUUCACAUACAUUAUUAUGAUAGCCUUUAGUGGUUGCCAGUGAUAUUUUUAAAAAUAUUUUUAUUUCUUAAUGUUUAAAUGUCUUUCUUCAUGUGAAUAUAAAAGUACUGAGAAAAAUGACAUUUUCCUCUUUUUUCUCUUCUCCCCUCCCCCCCUUUUUUUUAAAGGAGUGACAGUUCAUUCAGAUUCUUUGUAUUCUUCUUCGUCUAUAUUUGUCAGUUUGCUGUUCAUGUACUCCAAGCUGCAGGAUUUCAUAAUUGGGGCAACUGGUAAGCCGUUUACUUUAAUUACUCUAGUUUUAAUCUGUUUGUGUAGUACCUCUAUAUAAUUUUUGGCUUCCUAAAAAUAGUUAACAUAGAAAAGCCAGAUUAUCAAAAGGAAAAAUAGUAAAAAAUGCAAUUUAAAAAAUGUCUAAGGCAUAACCUUUGGGCAAACCAUUCUAUAUGAAAAUUAGGUUGCCAUCUUUUUUUUUUUUCAAGAAACAAACUUUUUUUUUUAAAGUUGUUUAUUUAUUUAGAGAGUGAGCAGGGGAGGGGGGAGAGCAAGAGAGGGAGGGAGGGAGGGAAGAAGGGAGGGAGGGAGGAAGAACUCCAAGUAGGCUCUACACUGUUAGCUUGGAGUCCAUUGUGGGGGUCAAACCCACAAACUGUUGGAACAUGACCUGAGCCGAAACCAAGAGCUGGAUGCUUAACUGACUGAGCCACCCAGGCGCCCCUAGGUUGCCAUUUUUAAAAGCAGCAUAUUGUAUCUAGUUUAAAUGAAAUGUAUAUAUAACAGGUACUAAAAGGAAGAGUAAAAAGACUGAGGAGUGGUCAGAGCUGGGCCAAGGAUUGUGGAGGGGAGAGGAAAGAACUUGUAGGAUUUAAAGGAAAAGAGUACCUGUUAUGUGUAAAGCACUAUUUUAGGUAUAUAAACAUAUAUUUCCAUACAAACACAUGCAUGUGAACACUUGUCUUUGAAAAAUGGUAUCACUGCAAUGCUCACUCUGGGAGACCCUCAGAAACUGAAACUAUUUGGACUCAAGCUAGGAGAUAAUAGCAAAUUUGUAUCUGUGUUCAUACACUUUGGAACAAUCAUUCCUUGAAUGAAAAAGUGGGUAGAAGAGUACACAUCUCUAAAAUUAUCCCUCCCUCUCUUGUAUUUUAAUUGAGUUACAUACAGUUGAGUUCUUAUAAACAACACCAUAUACAAGACAGUUUUGCUGCACUGUACAUAAACUAAAAUAAGCAUGUAGCUGCAGUGAAUUGAGGACUUAAGUUUAGUGUGCUACCACCAAAUCAGAAUAGAGACUGGCAAUCAGACAAUUAUCGGUAGCUUUGUGCAUCUCCUAAUGGGCAUGUAUACAGGUAGAGAAUUUUUAUAGAUACCUUAAAUCAGUUCUUGAAAAACGUAGCAUUUGUUAUCGUUUCUAAUAGUGUGUUUAGUCUUUGGCAUAUGAGGGAAAGAAAAUGUUCUUAAAUGUUUAAUUAAAAAAUACACUGUUUAUGUUAACAGCACAAGUUUUUUUUUUUUUUAUUCUUAUGAAAUUGAAGUAAUUUGUUUAGUUGUUUUCAGCACAGAUUCAGAAGAAAGUGUUAAAAUUGAGCAUAACAGAAUGUGUAGUGGCUAAAUAGCACAGGAGACUGAUAGGAAGGGGCCAUACCGGAUGACCCGUUUGAAGAUCAACCUCAUGUGAUCCAGCAACUUUUUAAAAAAUUAAACUGUUUAUUUUGAGAUAAUUGCAGAUUCACACAAUUAGAAGAAAUAAAACUCUAUACCAAAUUUUCCCAAGGGUAACAUCUUGCAAAGCCAUGGUAUAAUUUCGAAACAAGAAUCUUGACAGUCAUAAGUAGAGAUAACAUUUCCAUCACCAGAGAAUCCCUCAUGUUGCCCUUUUGUAGCACAUUAAUUUCCCUCCUGCCCUCAUCCACUUAUUAACCCCAGCUAUCACUAAUGUGUUGUUCGUUUCUGUUAUUUUGCUAUUUUAAGAAUGUUAUUUAAAUGGGGUCACUUGGUUGGCUCAGUGGUUAGGUGCCUGUCUCUUGAUCUCAGCUCAGGUCUUGAUCUCGGGGUUGUGAGUUCAAGCCCUGCAUUGGGCUCCAUGCUAGGCAUGAAGCCCACUUAAAAAAAAAAAAAAAAAAAGUUGUAUAAAUGGCAUCAUGGGAUAAGUAACUUUUGUCUUUUUGUGCUCAGCAUAGUUCUCUGGAGAUUCAUCUGGGUUAUAGUGUGUAUCAGUAGCCAUAGUUCUUUCUUUUUUAUUCCUCAGUAAAACUCUGGAUGUACCACAGUUUGUUUAUCCAUUCACCAGUGAAGGACUAGACUUUUCUCAUUUUAGGCUAUUAUAAAUAAAGCCUCUACAAACAUUUGUGAACAGGUUUUAUGUGAACAUCUGUUUUCAUUUCUCUAUGAUAAAUAUCCAAGAGUAUAAUUGUUGGUUCAUAUGGAAGUUUCAUGUUUAGUGAUCUUUUUAAGAAACUAACAGACUUUUUCAGGAUGACUGUACCAUUUUACAUUGCCACCAACAAUGUAUGAGUUACUCAGCUUCCACAUUCUGGCCAGCAUUUAGUGUUGUCACUUUUUAAAAUUUUAGCUGUUUUGAUAGAUGGAUAGUGAUAUCUCACUGAGGUUAUAAGUUGUAUUUCUCUGGUGACUCAUGAUGUUGAACAUCUUUUCAUGUGAUCUUCCCCCCUCCUUAUAGCCUCUUGAUGAAACAUCCUUUCAUGUGUUUUGCCCAUUUUCUAAUUGAAUUUUUUUUUCUAACUGUUGAACUUUGAAAGUUCUUCAUAUAUUCUGCAUGCUAAUCAUUAGUUGGAUAUAUGGUUUACAAAUAUUUUUUUCCAUAACUAAGCAGAAUUUAAAAUGAACUUAAAGUAAUAAUGAACGCCUAUACUUAAAAAGUAAAAUCUGGUGGUACACACUUUAGGCUCUGGCAUUUUCUAUUAGGUUUGAAUUUAGACUAUGCCAUUUAUUAGCUAUAUGACUGAGAAAGUUACUGAAUAUCUCUGAUUCAGUUGCUUAUGUGUAUAAUAGGGAUUUAAAACAACAUCUAUCUAUGGGGUGCCUGGGUGGCUCAGUCGGUUAAGUAUCCGACUUCAGCUCAGGUCAUGAUCUUAUGUUUUGUGAGUUCGAGCCCUGCGUCGGGCUCUGUGCUGACAACUCAGAGACUGAAGCCUGUUUCAGGUUCUCUGUCUCUCUCUCUCUGUCUGCUCCUCCUCCACUAAUGCUUUGUCUCUCAAAAAUAAAUAAAUGUUUAAAAAAAAACCUUUUUUUUAAAUAGCAUCUAAGGGAAUUGUUGUGAGAAUUAAAAGAGUUAACAUGAAGAAUUUGAACAUUGUGUGGCUUAUAAGUGCUGAAUAUGUGUUGGUCCUUAUUUUUUAAAAACCCGGCAUUAACUUAUUUGUCUAAUUAUACUCUUUUUUAAAAAAAUUACUUGUUAGUGGUUGGAUUUCAUCCCUUACUGGUCUCAACCAAAGUAUUCCUGUUGGAAUUAUGAUGAUCAUCAUAGCAGCACUUUUCACAGCAUCAGCGGUCAUCUCACUAGUUAUGUUUAAAAAGGUAAGUGACAUUUUACAUCUGUAAAUUUUUAUAGUUAAUUCUCAUUUUCCCAUUUUGCUUAUUAUUUUUUUUAAUGUUUAUUUGAUUUUGAGAGAGAGAGAGAGAUGAGAAAGAGAGAGAGUGUGAAUCAGGGAGGGGCAGAGAGGGAGACAGAAUCCAAAGCAGGCUCCAGGCUCUGAGCUGUCAGCACAAAGCCCCAUGAGGGGCUCGAACUCACAAAUCGUGAGAUUGUGACCUGAGCCGAAGUUGGAUGCUUAACGACUGAGACACCUAGGUGCCCCUCCCAUUUUGCUCCUAAUUCAGUGUCACCUCAAGCCAUUUUGUUCUUCUUGUUACAAGUGUGCUCUCUGAGCAUUACAAUUAGAAGUUAUGGAUAGAUAAUAUUGCCUCACGUUUUUAACUUACUCUAAAAAGGGAAUAUUUUAAAAUCCUGUUAUUACUUAGGGCUUCUUUCAUGAAGAGUCAACCUCAUUUUGAAAAUUUGGAAUUGGGGUGCCUGGGUGGCUCAGUUGGUUAAGCGUCUGACUUCAGCUCAGGUCAUGAUCUUGUGGUUCAUGGGUUCGAGCCCUGUGUCAGGCUCUGUGCUUACAGCUCAGAGCCUGGAGUCUGCUUGGGAUUCUGUGUCUCCCUCUCUCUCUGCCCCUCUCCUGCUUGUGUUCUGUCUCUCUUAAUCUCUCAAAAUUGAAUAAAUGUUAAAUUUUUUUUAAUUUGGAAUUAAAAAAAUACAUAUUCUGAUUUCUUUUUUUGAAAAUAAAUCAUAUUUGCCUAAUUGAUAAAUAGAAGUAAAAAAGUGUGGAACGUGCAUUUUGUUUGUAUUUGAAAUUGAAAGACAUGAAAUUAUGAGUAUAAAGUAAGCUGAUGAUGGGUUUGGGCUGGGUUAUAACAUGAAUUUUAUUUUAGUGAUUGCCCUAUUAUCUUAGCUAUACUUCUUUCUGUAAAAUUCCCAUGGCUAUUUUCAUAGCCUUAAAAAAAUUAUUACAUAGAGAAGUCAAAGUUAUGAUUUGUGUAUAUAAGGUUUUAUUAUGUCUUAUAUAUUUUUGAUAUCCUAUGUGUGUCCAAACAUGUAGAUUGUACAUCAUAUAGAGACCCUGGGAAUAACACUUAUGUUUGAAGAUGAUAAAGAACUUUUUGGGGAGUCUCAUUUUAAAGAAGAUAAUUCCUUAGAACUGUUUCUUCUUAAUUUUUUACUGUCUGGUAACUUAAGAAAAUGUACAAGGAAAAUAGAAAUAACUAACUUAAGAAAUAACUAAUUUAAGAACACUUUUGCACUCUUGGGGCGCCUGAGCGUCCAGCUUCAGCUCAGGUCAUGAUCUUGCGUUUGUGGGUUGGAGCCCCACAUCAGGUUCUGUGCCGACAGCUCAGAGCCCAGAGCCUGCUUUGGAUUCUCUGUCUCCCUUUGUCUCUGCCUCUCCCCUACUUGCACUCUGUCUCUCUCUCUCUCUUUCUCAAAAAUAAAAUUUAAAAAGUUAAAAAAAUAAAACCUCUUUGCACUCUUGAAAUAUUUUGCACAUUUGCCUUUUAUCCUUUUCAAAACCCUGAAGACUAGGCUGUGUUCUUUCUGUCCAUAUUUUGCUACUCAUUUUCUCUCUUAAAAGCUGUUACUUGUUUUCUGAACUGGUCACACAUACUAUUGAAUAUUGAAACUCAGCUUUCCAAAGUUAAUAAAUCACGUAUCCUUUUUGCAGUUAUCUUUUUCCUUGAACUCUGCAGCUUUCUACGCUGCAGGUGGCCCCUCUUCCUCAGUCUGUGUAAUUGUGUUCUGAUUCUCCUGCCUUUGACCUAUUCUUUCUCCUUCAUUCCUUUGUCCAGCUCCUAAGUACAUGUGUACUUAAAUGCAGUCAGCUCUCUGCUCUUUGUGCUCUAUAAUCUUUGUCCUUGUAAAUUUCAAUCUCUCCAAUUUUGGGGGUCCUUUCUCUUCUCUAUUCUGGGUGACCUAGAAUCUUGGAGUCGGAAGACAUAAUGCUUUGCAUAAAAAUUUAGUUGCUUCCUCAGGUGACUGUUUAGAACUCCCAUUGAUUGGUAUCAUCAUGUCACAGUAAUGUUUCUUCUCAGAACUAGCUCUUCUUCCAGAAGCUCUGAUUCAUAAUCAAGAAAAAUUUAUUAAGACCACAUAUUAUAUGAUUUCAUUUACCAUGAAGUGUCCAAAACAGGCAAAUCUAUAGAGAUAGAAAGUAGAUUUGUGGUUGCCUGAGGUUGGGGGUAGGGUGGAGAGGGAUUGCUGAUGGUUAUGAAAGUUCUUUUUGGGGUGAUGAAAAUUUCUAAAAUUAGAUUGAUGAUCUAUUCACAACACUAUAAAUACUAAAAACCAUUAAGUUCUAUCCUUUAAAAGGGUAAAUUGUAUAUUAUGCAAAUUUUAUCUCAGUAAAGCUGUUUUAAAAAAUGAAUAUUUAUUAAGUACCUACUGUAAAUUAGGUGGUACUAAGUGUUUUCUCCUAUGAUUCCAUUAAAAUUUGUGUCAACACUUUGACUGCUUUUGUCAGUGCUUUCAUUACUUUUUUAGUCACUAUCCUAGAUAACUUUCUAAGUAUCUUUUCCAUCCUUUUCUUCCUUUUCAUUCCCAGUCUCAGCUAGCCCAGAAAUGUUUUGCAGGUCACCACACCCUCACUUCCCCCAUCUUCCUUCAGUUGCUAUGUGAAUCUAAAAAAACCCACCCAAACAACUCUGAAGAUUUUUAAAGUCGACUUGGAUUGGGGAAUGGGAUUUUGGUGGUUGUGGGAACUAGGGCUAGUAGUGACCUUAUACUGCUCCUGGAUCCACACUUGCUUCUCUAGUGGAAGACCCAUGUCUUAAGGAUUGUGUCAUCCUUAAUUUUCUUGGGAACUUACUGUAGGUGUUACUCACUAUGGCAUCUGGGUACAAGCCACUCUAUGUAUCUUAUAAUGCACAUAUUCUGGGUACCCAGCUUGUUAGAGUUCCUCCAGGGUGAAUGUGGCUUCUAGCCUUGGAAUUAGAGGAGCAAGAGCUUUGGAACCAUACAAUUCAGGUUGAAAUUCUGGUGCCUUGACUUCAAGGCGUGUGAGCUGAGGCAGGCUUCUCUAACCACUCAGUCUCAGUGUCAUCACCUGUACUCUAAGCUCCUCAGGGGCAGAGGCCUAGUCUGUUUGCUUUCAGGUUUUUUUGAUCACAUCUGGAACAGUGACUGGCAGUGAUAUAUGGUGGGCACUCAGAGUAUUUGUUGAAUGAAGGAAGGAAUGGGAAUAAUAACUACUUCCAUAGGGUUGGAGUGAGGAUUAAGUGAACAUAAGCUGCCCAGCACAGGGCUUCUUCAGCCAAAAUUAACGACUUUUUCUGGUCUUCUUGACCCCUUUAUCAGUUUAUAUGCAGGGUGGUCUGGUUUAGUGUCUACUUUUGUUUAGUAGGUGCCUGUAUCAAUCUAAAAGGAUUUGGCUUAUGUGGUUGUGGGAGCUUGCUGAAUUAGUCCGAAAUCCAUAGAGUGGGCAGGCAGGAAGGGUUGGAAAAUCUGAAGCAGAAGAUGAAGCCCUGGUGCCAGGUGAGAUUUCCUCAAAGAAACCUCAGUUCUUUUCUUAAGGCCUUUCAACUGAUUUGAUCAGGCCUACCAGGUCAAAUACUAUUCUCCUUUUCUUAAAGACAACUGAUUAAUAAUCACAUGCCCAAAAUACCUUCACAGCAACAUCUAGAUUAGGGUUUUAUUAAUAACUGAAGACUAUAGCCUAGCCCAGAAACCUGACCAUCACAACAUCUCUUUGGACAUUUCCUUUAUUAUUGCAGAUGCUUUAUAAAACUAGAAAUGUAGUAAGUUUAAAAUACAGUAAAUACAGUAAUGGAUUUUGGGGUAUGUUGCAGGUUCUAUUCAUUUUUUAAACAACCAUUUAUGAUCAUGUGUUAUGUGCCAAGUGCUGCACUGUGUAUGAGCUCAAGGAGCUUACAUUUUGGUGUGAAGGAUAAACAAGUGAGUGGGUACCAAAAUUUGGUGAUUAGUGGCUGUUUUGGGGGCAAGUACAGGGAUCACAGAGGAGAGAUACCUAAUUAAGUUUUGGAGGUAUUUUAAAGUAGUGGGGUCUUGUAAAGUGUUUCCUUGGCUGAGAUAUUAUGAUUAGCAAGAGUUAUCUAAGUAAAAGAAUAGGGAGAAGGAAGAGCGUAAAUAGGUACCAGGUAACAGGGAUACCAUUUUCAUAUCUAGUUGCAGGAAAUAACAUGACAUAGGGAAUUAAAAGUAGCUCAGAAUGGAUGGAAAAUCAACUUGGUGCAUGAGUUGGACAGGGAGAAAUGUGCGGUGUUGUUGGUGGAGGACAGGAAAAGAUGAGACUACAUACAUAAGUUUAGUUAGAUUUUGCAGGGUCUUGUAAAGUAGGAAAACUUGUUAGGUUUGGAUCUUUCCCACAGAGUGGUGGUGAGCCAUAGAAGUGGUUUAAAGAGGAAAGUAAAAGAAUUGAUGAAUUGAUCAAUUUGAGCUUUAGAAAGAUUUGUAAUUUGUGUGGUGGGGACAUGGUACUUGGAGAAAUGAAGACAGGGAGGCAGGAUAGGAAGCAGGUUAGUAAUGGUGGCCAGAACUAAGGAAGCAGCAGCGUGAAGUAACUGUACUCAAGGGAAUAUGCACGUAGUGAUUGAUUGGACCUGGCCCCAGAAGCCGAGGAUGAGGGAAGGCUCAAGAAUGACACCCAGGUUUUUAGAUGGUGGGUCAUUCAGAAAGAGAGUACAGGAAGAAGAACAGAUAUAUGGGCAUUGGGGUGCCUGGCUGUCUCAGUUCAUAGAGCAUGUGACUCUUAAUCUCAAGGUUGUGAGUUCAAGCCCCACAUUGGGUAUGGGGCCUACUUAAAUAAAAACACAUUAUGUGAAAAAGAUACAUGGGCAUCAAGUUGUUUUCAGCUUUAAAUCCAGAGAAUUUAAAAUGAUGCUGGGGCAUCAAAAUAUAAAUACAUGGUAGGCUUUUGGAUCUAUAAGUUGGAAGCAAAGGAAAGAGCUUUAGGCUGGAUUUCUCGACUUGGGAAGUAUUGACUUCUUGACGUAAAUGAAUCCUAGAAAAUGGGUAUGGAAUAAGAUGAGUGUAGAACACUACCAACACUUAGAAAUCUGCUGAAGAAAGAAUGUGGAGGGAAUUUUAACAAUGGUUGUAGUGGGAUGUGUGGUACAGAUGAUUAAUAUGGUUGGAGUGGGAGGAAGUGUUUAUUCUACAGCUGCUGUUAAACUGACUCCUGUGUACAGCUCUCAUAAGUGUUUGACCUACAGCUUUCUCCCCAGGAACACAGUUCUUUAAGAUCCAGUGCGUUAAAGGAAAAGUUGUAGAGUUGUGCUGAUUGUAUGCCAGGCAUUGAAAAGAAAUGGCUCCUUCCCAGAUAAGUGUAUUAGUAUGGGAAAUGUGUAGCAUAUAGGUUGACUUUUUUGUUGUUGUUGUUACUCAUGGGUAAAGAAGUUACCAGUUUACACUUUUUAUAUGUGUCCACUGUCAGUCAAUACAAGUUCCUAAACUUCUCUGAAUCUCAUAUUCUUGUGAAAUAGGAAUUAAGAUGAGAUGAUUUUCUGAAUGGUUUUAUGAAGUACAAUAAAUGAGGAUAAUAAAAGCUAAACUGUAAUUUGAGCUCAGAUUUCAUACUUGUAGUAACAAGGAUUUCUCUUACUUUGGGUAGAAAUUGAGAUCCAAUAAAAACACUUGAUUUGGGGGGCACCUGGGUAGCUUACGCGGUUAAACAUCCAACUCUUUCAGCUCAGGUCAUGAUCUCAUUGUGGGUUCAAGCCCCGCAUAGGGCUCUGUGCUUACAGUGUAGAGCCUGCUUGAGAUCCUCUCUCUCUUCUCUUUCUCUGCCUCUCACCCCGUCAUGCUUUCUCACUUUCUCUCUCUAAAUAAAAAACAAAACAAACAAAACGCUUAGUUUUAAAUUUUCUCUUCCACACUUGGACAAAACUGGCUGUUUCCUUUGUGUGUAUGUAGCCAUAGUUGCUAACCACUAGGGGUCAGGCUCCUCAUAAACAGUUAAUGCCCUCCAAAAGUUAUUGAUGCACACCAUUUGACUCUAGAAUUGUUGCAUUUUAUUAUGCUAUUCUGUGUUUCCAGCCCCAGCUAAAUGUGCUCUGUGGUAUAUAUUUAUUUCAGUUGAAUACAGUUUUGAGAAUUUGGUUGGCGUUCUGAAGUCUUACAUAAUUGGAGUAGGUAAUAAUUGCUGUAUCAAGUGCCCACUAUGAGUGCUAUGGUAUCUUUGUUUCCUUGUAGUGUCAUUUUAUAAUUGAAAUUUAAAAAAAUUGAAAUGCAAGAAUAUCUGUCAUUUCAAAGAUAAGGGAAUAGUUCAGUUCUUAACUUUUAGAGAUUAAUUUUCUCUUAGGUUGUUUCUAAAAGGUAUUUUUUUAAGGUCUUUUCUCUGUAGUAAAUAAAUGGAAUUGAGUAACAGUUUUGGACUAAGGGGGAGGUGUUUUCAGUGGGUCAAAUAAUAAUAAAUGAAUGAGUCACAGGACACUGUAUAUCAGGGGAAUCCAAAAUUUUCCUUCUUUUAAUUGGUAUAAGAACUAGAAUGGCUUAGUAUGGAAGAGAUAAAUAGAUGAUACAUAAUUUGUACUCCUUUUGGGACCUAGUUAUAAAUGACUAUUUUUCCCAUAAAAUUUAAGAAACUGUUCAUAGACAUUUGUGUUCACAUUAAUAAACUAAUUACUAACAGUGAUUUUUAAAGCAUUUCAAAAGCAAUUUAGAAUAAAUUUCGCUUUAAAAAAAAAAGUUUCCCUAAACGCUUGAAUUGUUUUUAAAAAUGCCAGUAUAUCUAUUCUGAAAAAACUUCUCUGUGAGAGUAUAUAAUUCGGGUAUAUGAUCCAAAGUGGAGAUGAUGAUAGUGAUGAUAAUAAUAAUAAUAAUUAUUGGUGUUUUAUAGUAAAUGCUCUAUGAACAUACCCAGUUAUAUUUAAUAAUGGUCUUAGGUUAAAAAUGAUGAUUUCAUUUUCUUUGAAAACAUUGCUAUUGUUCACCCCUCCUUUUUUUUUUGCUUCCUUUUUAAUUUUUUUUGUUUUAUUUGGAUCUAGGACAGAAUGCUGAUAAUUUAAUGUACUUUUUUUUUAAAUAGUCACAUUUAGGUAUACUUCUUUUGCCUUCUCUCUGCCUCUUUCUCUGAAUCAUCCAAGAUUAUAAUUUUUCCUGAUUAAAAAUCCAUUUCAGAUGAUUGACAUGGCCUAUUUUCUUUUUCUUUUUCUCCUCCUCCUCCUCCUCCUUUUUCUUUUUCUUUUUCUUUUUCUUUUUCUUUUUGUUUUUCUUUUUCUUUUCGAGAGGAGAGUGAACGUGUGCAUGUGCAAGCAGGGAGAGGGAGAGAGAGAAUCUUAAGCAGACUCCACACUCUGCGGAGCCUGAGGUGGUGCUCAAUCUCAUGACCGUGAGAUCAUGACCAAGCGAAAUCAAUCAAGAGUCAGAUGCUUAACCAACUAGGCCACCCAGGUGCCCCAAGAAUAAUAAUAUUUGUUAAACAAUAUGUUGGGGACAUUGAAAUUUUUUCUGCUCUAAAUACUUUUUAUUUUUUUUUUAUUAACUGAAUUAUAGCAGUAGACAGUACUAUAUUGGUUUUAGAUGUACAACAUUGUGAUUUGACAUUUAUAAAUUACAUCAUGAAAUAAUUUCCAUAAGUAUAGUUACCAUCUGUCACCAUUCAAGGCUACACAAUAUUAUUGACUGUAUUCCCUAUACUGUACUUUACAUCCCUGUGACUCAUUUAUUUUGUACCUGGAAGUUUGUACCUCUUAAUCCCCUUCCCCUAUUUUGCCCAUCCCUCCACUUCUGUAUCCCCACCCCCAGCAGCCAUCAGUUUGUGCUCUGUAUUUAUGAGUCUCUUUCAGGUUUUUUGUUGUUGUUGUUUGCUCAUUUGUUUUUUAGAGUUUGCAUAUAAGUGACAUCAUGUGGUAUUUGUCUUCCUCUGACUUAUUUCACUUAGCAUAAUACCUCCUGGGUCUGUCCAUGUUAUUGCAAAUGGCAAGAUGUCAUUCUUUUUUUUUUUGGCUGAGUAAUAGUGCAUUGUGUAUGUGUAUGUAUGUGUGUGUGUGUGUGUGUGUGUGUGUAUAUAUAUAUAUAUAUAUACACACACACACACACACACACAUUAUCUUCUUCUUUAUCCAUUCAUCUUUCAGCAGACACUCAAAUUUCUUCUUUAUGUUGCCUAACAUAAAUAAUGCUGCAAGAAACAUAAGCGUGUGUAUUUCUUUUCAAAUUAGUGUUUUUGUUUUCCUUGGAAAAACCCAGAAAUGGAGUGACUAUAUCAUAUGGUACUUCUAUUUUUACUUUCUUGAGAAACUUCCAUACUGUUUUCCCAUAGUUGCUACACCAAUUUACAUACACACAAACAGUGCAGGAAGGUUCCCCCUUCCUCACAUUUUUGCCAACACUUGUUAUUUCUUGUCUUUUUGAUGGUAGCUAUUUUGACUGGUUUGAGGUGAUACUUCAUUGUGGUUUUGAUUUCCAUUUCCCUGAUGAUUAGUGAUAUUGAGAGCAUCUUUUCACGUGGAUAUUGGCCAUCUUUGUGUUGUCUUUGGGAAAGGGUCUAUUUAGGUUCUUCUGCCCAUUUUUUAAUUGGAUUGUUUCUUUGGUGUUGAGUUGUAUUGAUUCUUUAUGUAUUUUGGAUCUUAAUCCCUUAUCAUAGAUAAUUUGCAGAUAUGUUCUCCCAUUCAGUAGGUUUCCUUUUCAUUUUACUGGUGGUUUCCUUCACUAUGUGGAAAAAGCUUUUUAGUUGGAUGUAGUCCUAAUUGUUUAUUUUUGCUUUUGUUGCACUUGAUUAAGGGGACAUAUCCAAAAAAAUAUUGCUAAGGUUAAUGUCCAAGAGUUUACUUCCUGUGUUUUCUUUCACAAGUUUAUGCCUUCAGGUCUUAGGUUAUGUGUUUAAUCCAUUUUGAAUUUAUUUUUAUAUGUGGUGUAAGAAAGUGGUCCACUUUUAUUUUUUUUUUGCAUGUAGCUGUUCAGUUUUGCCAACACUAUCAAAGAGACUGGUCUUUUCCCCCGUGUAAAUUCUUGCCUCCUUUGUCACAGAUUAAUUAACCAUGUAAACAUGGGACUAUUUUGGGGCUUUGUGUGGUGUUCCAUUAUUCAGUGUUUCUUUUUGUGCCAGUACCAUACUGUUUUGAUUACUAUAGUUUUGUAGUAUAGUUUGAAAUACGGAAUUGUGAUGCUUGUGAUAGCUCUGUUUUUCUUUUUCAAGAUUGCUUUGGUAUUUGGGGUCUUUUGUAGUUCUGUACAGAUUUUAGGAUUAUCUUAAUUCUGCAAAAAAUACUAUUGGUAUUGAAUCUUUAGAUUGCUUUGGAUAGGUUCAACAUUUUAACAAUAUUCUUUGAAUCCAUGAACAUGGUAUAUCUUUCCAUUUGUAUCAACUUAUUUCAUCAUUAUCUUAAAGUUUUCACUAGAUGGGUCUUUCACCUCUUUGGUUAAACUUAUUUCUAGGUAUUUUUUUUUUCUUCUUUGAUGUCACUAUAAAUAAGAUUGUAUUCUUAAUUUCUCUUUCUGCUAGUUUAUUAUUAGUGUAGAGACAUGCAACACAUUUCCAUAAUUAAUUGCAAUUCAUUUAGUCUAACAGUUUUUGGUGGCGUCUUUAGGGUUUUCUGUAUAUAUUAUGUUAUCUGCAAAUAGUGACAGAGUUACUUCCUCCUUAAUAAUGUGGAUACCUUUUAUUCCUUUUUCUUGCCUGAUUUUUGUGGCUAGGACUUCGAGUACUAUGUUGAAUAAAAAAAGCAAGAGUGGACAUCCUUGUCCUGUACUUUAGAGGAAAAGCUUUCAGCUUUUCACCCCUAAGUAUGAUGUUAGCUGUGUGUUUGUCAUAUAUGGCCUUUGUUAUGUUGAGGUACGUUCCCUCUAUAUCCUAUUUCUUGAGAGUUUUUGUCAUGGAAGGAUGUUGAAUUUUGUAAAGUGGUUUCUCUGCAUCUAUUGAGAUGAUCAUGUGAUUUUUAUCUUCAUUUUGCUAAUCUGGUAUAUUGUGUUGAUUGAUUUGCGGUUAUUGAACCAUCUCUCAUCUCUGGAAUAAAUUUCACCUGGUCAUGGUGAAUGAUCCUUUAAUAUAUUACUGAAUUUGGUUUGCUCAAUUUUUUUUUAGGAUUUUUGCAUCUGUGUUCAUUAGGAUUAUUGACCUGUAAUUUUCUAUUUUUGUAGUACCUUUGGUUUUGAUAUCAGACUAAUGCUGGCCUCAUAGAAUGAAUUUGGAAACAUUUCUUCUCUUCAAUUUUUUGGGUUAGUUUGAGAAGAAUAGGCAUUAGCUCUUCUUUAAAUAUUUGGUAGAAUUUCCUUGUGAAGCCAUCUAGUCCUCAGCUUUUGUUUAUUGGGAGUUUUUUUUUUUUUUAAAUUACUGAUUCAGUUUCAUUGCUAGUAAUCAGUCUGAUGAGAUUUUCUAUUUCUUCCUGAUUUUGUCUCGGAAGACUGUAUGUUUUUAGGAAUUUAUCCAUUUUCAUUUAGAUAGUCCAAUUUGUUGGCAUAUAAUUUUUCAUAGUAGUCUCUUGUAAUCCUUUGUAUUUCUGUGGUUUUAAUUUGUCCUCUUUUAUUUCUGAUUUUAUUUAUUUGAGCCCUCUUUUUUGCUUGAUAGGUCUGGUAAAGAUUUUAUCAUUUGUAUUUAUCUUUGCAAAGAACCAGUUCUGAGUUUCCUUAAUUUAUUUUUGUCUAUUUCCAAUCUGAUCUGUAUUAUUUCCUUUAUUAUUUCUACUAAGUUUGGGCUUUAUUUUUUAGUGCCUUUAGGUGUAAGAUUAGAUUGAGACUUUUCUUGUUUCCUUGAGGUGGGCUUUUCUUAGAUCUUCUUUUGCUUUGUCUCAAAGAUGUUGAACUGUUGGUUUCCAUUUUCAUUUGUGUGAAUGUAUUUUUUUAAUUUUCUCUCAUUUCUUUGUUGACCCAUUGGUUGGUUGGUAGCAUGUUGUUUAGCCUUGGUGUAUUUGUGUGGUGUUUUUUUUUCCAGUUUUUUUUUGUUUUGUUUUUUUUUUGUAAUUGAUUUACAGUUUAAUACCAUUGUGGAUCAGAAAAGAUACUUGAUAGAAUUUCAGUCUUCUUAAAUUUAUUGAAGCUUGUUUUAUGGCUGAAUAUAUGAUCUGUCCUGGAGAAUAUUCUGUAUGUACUCAAAAAGAACGUGUGGUCUGCUGUUUUUGGAUGCAGUGUUCUGUGUAUAUAUCUGUUAAGUAUAUCUAGCCUGAUGUGUCCUUCAAAGCUACUGCUUCCUUGAUUGAUUUUCUGCCUGAGUGAUCUAUUGAUGUAAGUGGUAUGUUAAAGUUCCCUAGUAUGUUCACUUGUAAACUGGCCUGUGAAGGUAAUUGCAAACUAAGCAAUUUUCUUUGUAACAUAGGUACAGUGUGUUAGAUUAGUAGUGUACCUCUUUGGUAACUUUUUUUUUUUUUAAUAGGAUAAUUGUGAGCCAUUUGUUUAAAUGGCUAAAAAAAUAAAAGAAAAAAUAAACAAGUAAUUAUUCAGUGGCUUUUACUGCAAGUUAUUAUGUCUUUUUUUUUUUUUUAAGUAAGCUUUACACCCACUAUGUCACUUGAACUCAUGACCCCAAGGUCAAAAGUUGCAUGCUCUACUGACUAAGCCAGUCACGUACCCCAGCAAGUCACUAUAUCUUGUAGGUGAUAUAAUAAUGAGUAGAAAUUAGCUCUUCCCCUCAAGGAACCAAAAGCACAUGGGGUAUAAGACAUGUAGAUAACUCCUACAAAAGAAAAGGCACACUAGACAUCCCUAAAAGAUGUACUGGAGGUGCUCACAACAAGGAGAGUCACAGUUAGAUCAAGCAGAAAGAGGACAGUGGUAUUUAAAUUUUUUUUUUUUCAACGUUUAUUUAUUUUUGGGACAGAGAGAGACAGAGCAUGAACGGGGGAGGGGCAGAGAGAGAGGGAGACACAGAAUCGGAAACAGGCUCCAGGCUCUGAGCCAUCAGCCCAGAGCCCGACGUGGGGCUCGAACUCACGGACCGCAAGAUCGUGACCUGGCUGAAGUCGGACGCUUAACCGACUGCGCCACCCAGGCGCCCCUGACAGUGGUAUUUGAGAUAGGCUGCAUAGGAUGAACAGGAUUUCAAUAGUGUGAAAAGAGAGUAUUAAUUCAAGAGGUGACAGAAGGGGUAUCUGACCCAGAUCUAUGGGCAGUUCACAGAUGGUUUAUAGGAAAUGUUUAAUUGAAAACAUUAGGCUAAGAGAUCCCUAAGUUUUUUAAAAAAAGACUCACAACAAGAAUAAAAAUUUCAAAAAUUUGUUUUUUUCCCAGGUUUUAAAAAAAGUUAAAGUGAUUUUUAUGUAACAGGCAACUUAUAUUAAUAAAAACAUUUCUUGAAAUCAUAUUCUCUAAGCUUUAAUGGAAAUAUAUGUUUGGAUUAUUUUGUUUAAAGUACCAUGAGCCUUUAAUUUCCAUAGUAUACAAUUUUUUGUGUCAUAUACCUCCACAGUAUACACUAACAUAUGUUUGAAGAUACAUUAAGAAAGCAAGAUACCCUUCUGGAGUUGCAUCUCGGCUGUGACUCUUCUCCAGAUACUUAAAAAUUAAUUUUAAUUUUUACUAGAGUAACACAUUUACAUAACUCUCAUUUUAUCCUUAGGAAAAAUGUGAGAGACAGAUAGGACAACAAAUAUUCUUGUUUCAUGGGAAGUAAACUUGAGGUUUUGAGUGGUGACCAGCCUGGUAGAAAGCAGUGGAAUCAGUAGAUAGCAAAUCUACUGUUCUUUCUGUGUUACUCCUAGAACUAAAUAUUUAGGUUGAUGUUCUCAUAACUAGAAGAGAUAGAAAGUAUUUAAGUUGUUUAGUUUUUUUUAAUUGUAAUAUUUUACCUUAAAGUUUUGUCCCUGAUGUCGUAAGGAAUGUGAGCUAUCAAUAGAUAACACUAUGAAACAUAGCAGGAAAUUGAUGAGUUUUUCGAGAUGGUAAUCCUUAGAAUUAGCCUGUCAUGUUGCUGGAGCACUGGUAAAAAGAAUCCCCGUUUUCACAUGGUUUUAUAAUGGAUUUCAUACAGUAUUUGAGCAUUAUGCACAGAGUACGCAUGUGUAGUGUCUUCCCUCUAGGUGGCUCUCUGAGUCUAUAUAGAUUUGGACUACUGAGAAGUGUAUGUUGUUCGUACCUUUAUUUUGCCUUCCUGCUCUGUGGGGCUGUGCGUGACAUUUUUAAGUAAUUAAAUAUGAAGCCCAUGAAUACGUAACAUCAGGCACUCAAUUUAAAACAAAUUUGGAAAAGGAAAUAACAAAGCAAGUUAGAACAAACAUUUGUUGAUUAUAUGCUCAUAAACUUGGGGGGAAGGGAGAAGACACAGGUGAAUCUGUAAUUAUAUUGUAUGAUGACAAAGUCUAGUAAGUAGCCAAGGUUUAUUAGAUUUCUAUCAUAAACUCCAUUUUCUUGGUCCUAAUUAUAUGUAUUCAUUGCUUUGAGAUAAUUUUCUUGAACAUAGGCGUAGUAAUUUAUCUGUAUCUUUAAUGUUCCAUAGAAAAAUUGGUUUUAAAAAGGGAAAAAAAAUAAUUACUUAUGAUUCUGAAAAUUCCCAACAUGAAGAAAUGGUUUUGAACACGUUGGCCAAAAUUACAACAGUAAGUGAUCAUGUAAUAGAAUGACGUUUCACAGACUGUGCGAAUGUGAAGAUUAAUUUUUCAGAUCCCUUGAUGUUUAUAAGUGAGGAUCAACAAUUUUGUUUGGAACCAUUUUUGUGUGUCAUAAUAGUAAAUUUGAAUAAUGCAUAAAGAUUAUCCCUUGGAGAGAAAGAAAUGAAUACAAAAGAGGUAAAAUACAGUGUUCAGUUAACCAACACAUGAAAAAGUCAUUUUCUCAUCAUUCUCUCAAAAUAUUAAAGGAAUUAAAUUAUGAUAGUGCUAUAGUACGAGAAGAAAACAAUUUUAGGGUUUGCCUAAAGUGUACUUGUCAGCGCUCUCAUUUUCUUCCUGACCCUUUUACACCUUGUUCCACUGUAAUAUGACAUUUGCUUUCAUCACUGUGUCAGAAGAAUUCAGGGCUGCCUGGGUAUUUUUAUCUCCUACCCGGAGCAGCUCUUCAUUCCUUAACAUGGCUUUCUUCCCUUGGCAUCUGUGAAAAAGUCCCUGGCUUUUCCCAUUCCUCUCUUUAAUUGUUCCUUAUUGUCGUGGGUACCUCUUAAAUAUUGGUAUCUUAACAGACUUUGAUAUUUGACUCUUUCCUUUUUUCUCCAUGGACCAUUUCAUUUAUGUCAGAGUUGCAGUUACCAUUUAUGUGCCAUUGCUUUUCAAGUCCAUGUCCCUAGCCUAUUCCUCUUUUGAACUCCAAAUCAAAUCUUCACCUGCCUGCUGCCUGCUGUGCUAGGUAUGAAUGUUUUGAACUUAGUGUCUCCUUUCCCCUCUAAACCAACCUAUCUUACCUCUUCUCUGUCUUCUUGAAACAGUUUCCCAGUAUCCAAGUUUGACUUGAAAGUCUUUGACUCAUUCAAAGAAAGUUCCCUUUCUUUCUCUUCCUCCCUCCCCCCAAGUUUGUAGACAUGUAAUAAAUAUUCUAAUUUGCUUUAUUUCCUUCCCCAAAUGUAUAUAAAUUGGCUGAUGUUAUGUAUUGUUGCACUUUGUAGUUUAUGCAUCUCGUAACAUAUGCUAAUAGAGUGUUUUUGAACCUUGCUCUUGAAAAGAAGUCCCAAAGAUUUAACUGAUAAAUCAAUAUGGGCAGACACUUUCCAGAAGUUUUUCCUUUCCCAAAAUUUCUCAGAAGUAAAUCCUUUAGGACUUGACCAUACACAAAAAGUAAAAUGGUACACAGAGUGAAAGAGGACAGCAAAAGUAUCUUUAAGGACCUAUGUAUUCCUUGGUAUAUUAAAUGAUGAAAUGAUAAUCAUUUGAUUAUAAUAGGGCUAGUGGUGUAUAUGUAGCCAACAUGAAAAUUGAUACGGCAUUACUCUGAAUUGUCUAAGGUGGUAAGUUAAUGUAUUAAUGUCUGAAUGUCUCUUGUUAUGUUUAAACCAUUCUCUGUAAUAUCUUAAAAAGUAGGUAUAGCAGGAAAAAUAGUUUUUUGCAUUUGGUUAAGAAGUUUUAAAAAUUAUUGUUGGUUUGCAUAAGCAUAACUAUCUCUUCUGCAUUGGGAGUAAAGUGGAAGACAAUGUUAGGAAAAUAUUUAAAUACAGUAUUGUAUGUCAGGGUGGUGGCUGAUAUUCUUGACCUUAGGAAUCAUGGCUAGAAUCUAGUCCUUUUAUGUCUGGGUAAUGUCAAGAUUAAUUGAAGAGUUGCUGAAAAUGAGUGUGUAGAUUACCACUUAACUUGUCCCACUUUUUUGUGCCUCCGUAGGUACAUGGACUAUACCGCACAACAGGUGCUAGUUUUGAGAAGGCCCAACAAGAAUUUGCAACAGGUGUGAUGUCCAACAAAACUGUCCAGACUGCAGCUGCAAAUGCAGCUUCAAGUGCAGCAACUAGUGCGGCUCAGAACGCUUUCAAGGGUAACCAGAUGUAGAGAACCCUCCAACAGUACACUGGUACCUUCUGACUGUACUUUUUCUCCAGUUACUGUAUUCUAUAAAUAUUUUUAUGUUCAAAACACAGUACACACAGCAUGUAUAUUUCCUGUUCACUUGUGCAUGGGCUAAAACCAGAAAAACUUCCUUGUCUUAUUUGCCUAUUAGUUUCUUAAUAUUUUGGUGCCCCUUGCAGAAAAAAAUACCACAUGCUAAAUAAAUAUUCUCCAUAUUUUUUGGGGGAUGAAUGUUCAGCAAAUUAUUUCAGUGGUGACACACUGAAAUUAAUAUGGUACUUAUGAUUAAAAAUGCAUUUAGUACUAGCUGCAGUCAUUCUUUCAAAAAUCUUAGACUUAAGGAUUACAUAUUGGAACAUUAAAGCGAUGCUUCAUUCCAUUUUCCCCAUUUAUACUGAAAGAAAUAGGCCGUCAGGGACUUAGGGAUUUUAAAAUUGGCUUGCUUUUUAGCAGUUUUAGUCACCAGUGAAGAGCCUGUGUGCAUUUCGUAGUAGAUGAUGUAAAUUUUAUCCUUUUCUUUUUGUUUUAUUUUUAUAGAGUAGUUGAUAUUUUCAUACCAAUCUCUGAUCUUGCAUGGGCACCACAUUUCUUAAAAGAAUUAGUAUUUUGGCUUUUGCACUGCUUAUGGUUGUAGGAUUGCAGAGAUGCUGGUAGAAUCAAAGAAGAGAUUUUCUGCAAUAGUUUCUGUUAAAUAAAAAUUUAUUGGGAUGCAAUAUGAGAACAUAAUGUGCAGUGCAUCAUCCAAAAAAGGGUAGAUAAUCAGUGGAAUAGAAUGUAGUGAUGAUAAUACUGUUUUUUGUUUUUGUUUUUUAAUUUUCAGUAUCCGUAUCAUAGUAGAAUAUUACUGUAUGGAAACUUUGGUAUAUUCUUGUGGUUACUCAUUUUAAUUGAACUGAGAUUGUGUUUGGCAGCUCUUUUUUGGGGAGUGUGUGUGUAUAAUUUUUAACAGAGGUAUUAAAGUCUAGACUAACUCCUUGUCCAAAAAGAACAUACAGUAUUUCAGGGAUUUUUCUUUUAGCCUCUCAUCUGUAGUGGGAUUAAAAAGAAAAAGAUGCUGUUGUUUCACAUAUACUUGAAUUCCUAAUGCACCUCAGUCUUUGAACUUUUGACACAGACUGAAUACAUUAAAAUUUUUCAGCAAUAGAAAAAAAUGAAACAUAUAACUUGCACCAAGCAAGAAAAUACAAAUACAGUUAAAUGCAUUAAUUGUGACUAUGACCAUGUUGAAAUUGUUACUAUGCAGCUUAGGAGUUCAUUCUUAGAGUAUACUUGAUUUGAAACUUUGAAUCAUUUUUAAUACUGAUUUAAUGGCUCAAAGACCUUUGAAAGUCAUUAUACUGUGUUUUGGAAGUCAUUAGCUAAUUUAAGAUUACAGAAUAAUCAGUAAUGAUUUAUUCAACUUGAUUUUAAGUAAGGAUAGUAUAUUGGGUUAAAUUAUUUGAGACUGCAGAUCUUUUUUAAAAAUAAGAAUCAGAUGGGUAUAAAUAGUUAAAUCACUUGCAUUCUUUUCCCCAAAUCUGGAGGUAAAUGAAUUUCAUACUGAGGGUGGGAUGAUGAGUUCUCACUAUUUAUAAGGGAAGCUUUGCGUGAUAAUAGAUAACAUGGAUCCAUCUAGAUGGUGUUUACAUUUGAUUUAUUUGGGAUUUAUUGAAAUAAUAUACUUGGAAGAUAUUUCUUUUAUUAUGAUUAAAAUAGGUUUCAGAAAAUGAAUUUAAAACUGUUUUUAUGAAUAUUUCUGAUUAGUAAUAAUCUCCCUACUUUGUCAAACAAAUAAGCCAGUUCAAGUUCUUUAGAUUCUAUAAUCUUACUGAAAAUCUAUUUUAUCACAGUGUGCUUUACUGAGUGUGUAUUUUACAAACAUUCAAAACAUUAACCACAAAAUACAAGAGGAGCUCUUAUAUUUAUCAUUAAUUUAUAUCUCAAGUCCAUUUCUUUUUUUCUUUUAACUACAAAUGAAUAUAGAGACUUGAAAAAUACUGACAUACUUCCCUUUAAGAAUAGGAAUUACCUCUAUUUUGUAGAAAUCCCCAAAGGUAGCAUUGUUAAAUAGCAAAUAAUUAAAACCAACAGUACCUUUUUUGUGUGUGGAUGGGGAGAAUGUUUUAAGGUCCAGUUACUUGGGUUAAUGCAAGCUUAUGAGAGAAAAUUGUUUUUUAAAAACCUAAAUGUGGAUUAAAAUGAUGGCAAUACUAACGGUUUGAUAAGUUAUAGGGAUUUUAAAUUCUUAGAUUCUCUAUUCUCCUAACAAUAGUUGGUAAAUGGCCACAUUUUCCAGCAAAAGAUUGGCAUUUGUUAAUGUAUUAUAUUUAAUACUAAUGUGACCCACCCAGUAUCACAGUCAUGAAAUGGUCUUCAUGUUGUAAGCAUCCAUGUCAUUUUUCAGUUUGCAAUAUUAAGUUGUGGCUGUUUUCCUUCAAACUAAAAUUUGAACACUGGAAAAUCCUUGCUCAGUGAUUUGUAAUUUGGGACUUGGAUUAUUUAUCUAGGGAUGUUUGUAUAUUUUGUCAGUGAGUAAUAUUGCGCUGCCAUCAUGAUGAGUGUCAUGGUUCUAUAUAAAUGCCCUCCAUCUGUCCCUCUAAUGUUGCAUGUUUUCAGUGGUUUGGAAGUUUUGUAUAUUUAUUGUAUUAACACAGAGUGUCAUAAAAUAAAAUGCUGUUACUGGAUGUUAGUUUGUCUAAUUUUAAACAUUAUAUUAGCAUUUCAGAGGUAGAGAUUAUGCUGUCAGUUUAAUGUAUAUAGAUAUUUCACAUUUGAUUUUUAAAGAAUCUCUGUAAUUCUAAUGUGCUGAAAAAAUAAAUAACAUAAAAGACUUUGUUAAAAACUCUCAGCAACACAAAAUGACCAUUUUUCUGUUGCAUUAGAACUUUUAGGUGGUGGAACAUGAACUUCACUCAUAUUUUGAUCACUCUAAGGUCAAAAUACACAUACUGUCUAGAAGUUAGUAAGAUUCAAAAUGGAAACCCUGUUUUGUGGCUCAGGUUUUUCCUUGUAGGUUAAAAUGGAUGCCUCUGUACUAGUAUUGUAUUGAUUAGAUUGAACUUGUGUUCUGUUUCCUAACCUAGCUACCUUUGUUUUAUGUGCCGAUGAAAGUACCUAUUUGUGUAUUGUUGGAUUUUUCACUUGGUUAUCUAAGGAGGAUGUAAAAAUCUAAAAUGUUCAUGGUGAAUCUUAUUCUGAGAAAUACAUGUUAAAAUAGGAACAGCAUUUUCAAUUUUCUGGGUGUUACCUAAAAAGUGAGUUUGGAUUUUCAUUGGAUAUACUGUCUUCUGUAAAUCUUGUUGAGAUAAUAUAUAGUUCAUGUUUUAGAGGGGAUUUAUGUUAAAUUGAGUUUAUUUUCUGUAAUUUAUUUGUACUAGCAUAAUGCUUUCACAGUUACUGCUAUAUCUUUUUCUGAAAAUGCUGACAUAAUAGCAUUUAAUUUUAUAUCUUUAUUGGUGAAAAUCUAUGUUUAGACUGUUUAUAUAUAGAGUUUGUUAUAGUUUUGCAUAUAUUUUCCCCUGUUAGAAUUACCAUGGCUGUCAGACACCAUUGCACACUGUAUUUCCUUCCAUUUUUCCCUUAAGGAAUAUGUUUAGAGGGAUUUUUUGAUUCCAUGUAAUUAAGACCUUUUCAAGUUAAAUAAAAAUGGUUAAUGUAAAAAUAAUUGAUGGUUAAAAAUAAAAAAUGCCUUACUUUGAUAGAUUUUCAAGUACCACAGUAUAAAUUUAUGUAGGGUAGAAUGUUUUAAAACACUAGAGUUGUUUUAAAUACUUGUUUAUUAAACUAAAAAUUUAUAUCUUAGUGUCUAAAUAUUAUGGAAGUGAAGUAUUUCCACUAGAACUUGAGGAUACAUUUUACCAAACAGCAUGCUUUUUGUAUUGAUGGGUGUUUUAAAACCUCAUUAGGGCUUUGUCAUAGUAUAUAGAGAGCUAGAAAGAAAUCUAUAGAAAUUUGCUAAGCCAGACAUUGCCACUAAUCUAUACAAGGUAGAUAGAUUUAUUCAAUUUAAAGUUUCUGGGAAAAUGAGGAAAGACUCUUCUCUAAUGUUCUUACCCUUCCUGAGGUUUCAUAUUUACAGUUUAACUUUGUGGUUUUGGUAAGAAAAAGCCUUUAACCUAUAGAAUUUUCACUAG